UCAAUUUAUUUGUAAGAAAAUAUAUACUUUAUAAAUUCAACAAGAUAGGUGCAUGUUUCAAAUUUGUGUUGGAAGCUUAAUCAAAAUUAAACAUGUUUGCGUCAAGAUUAUGGAGAUCAUACUGCUCCUCAAGUACCCUUCCACUUGUAAAUCAUUCAAGAAUAUUUCUACCCUCUUUUCUUGAUCCAAGCAGGAGUUUAAGUUCACCAAAAUCCAAUUUUCACCAAUUUUUAACUUCUGAUUAUGUGUUAUUUUCACACAGCAUCAUCAGCAGGUUAGUUUCGUAGUAAAAUUCACAUGCAAAUUUCUCUCUCCACUCUCUUUAAUUAUAUUGCAUUUUGGUUUAAUUAAUUCAAUUCCUCUCAUACAUACNNNNNNNNNNNNNNNNNNNNNNNNNNNNNNNNNNNNNNNNNNNNNNNNNNNNNNNNNNNNNNNNNNNNNNNNNNNNNNNNNNNNNNNNNNNNNNNNNNNNAUAUAUAUAUAUAUAUAUAUAUAUAUAUAUAUAUACACACAAAACCGAUCAGGUGAGGGCUCCCUUACUUUGUUAAAAUGCGGACCUUUUGUUAUACGUAUCCAAAUCACAUCCAAAACACUGUAUUAUGAAAAAAUUCAGUUCCAUAAAAUAUUAAACUUUUUUUUUAGUUAUUUUAAAAAUAAAAAAAAUCAAAAAAAAUCAACAAAAAAAAAGUCCGCAUUUUAAUAAAGUAAUGGAGUCCUUAUCUGAUUCAUCACCCUAUAUAUAUAUAUAUAUGUACGUCCGCGUACUCCUUUUUAUCCAACAUAGUCGGGAGCUUGUUCAUUUUGCUGUAUCUGGGGUGUUAAGGCUUGUGAAGUUUGGGCUUAUAAUUAAUGCGCUUUUGAGUUAAAUAAAUUUAAUUUAAUAUAGAUUAUCUAAACUUUAGAAGAACAAAAUUAUCAAAUGCAGUAUUUGAGGUCUAAAAGCCCCCAAGGCUGCUUAGAUAUAUACAAACACAUAUUUAAAUGUUUAAUGUUUUAAAAGCCAUGAAUUAAGUUGUAAAUAAUUCGAUGCUGUCAUUUGUGUUUAGUCAGCUCCAUGUCGAGUCGAUCGGCAUAUAUAACAAAACUCUUUUAUUUACCUAUAAAUAUAUUUUUUGGAUCAAACUGUAACAAUAAUCUAUUACAAAAUAUGAAAAGAUUAUAAUAAUUAGAAUCACAUUAAUCAGUGGAUCAAUUACAUUUAAUUUAUAGUCUUAACAUUAAUUUCCUCAUGAUAUGCAUGCAUGUAGGAACUUUGCAUCCUUCAGUAGUGUUCAUCCAGGACCUCCAAGCCCAUCUGGGAAACCUUCAAAUUCUUGGUAAUUGUCAAUGAAUACUAUAUAUUCUUACAGGUUUUUUAAUUUUAUUUAUUUAUUCAAUUUUAAUAUAUAUAUAUAUAUAUAUAUAGGCUAACCUUAAUCUAACAAAUGUCAUGAUAUAGGAAAAAAUGGGUUGCCGGAAUGCUACUAUCCAUAGUUACAUUACCCUUUGGCAAGGACAAAUUAAAUUCAUUCCUGAAAUUGAAAAGUACGUACGACUGGUAACACAAUUGCUGACCCUAUCCAAGUUUCUUGAUUUUUCCAGCAAUUCAUGCUUUACAUUAUUAGACAGGAAAUUAAAUUUAUGGACAUAUAAUAUAUAUAGCUAGGGCAAAUUAAUUGUAUACAAUUAUUUAUUGGACAAAUAUAAUCUUCCACCGAAAUAUUUGUCUACAUAAACAAUUGUUCUGUCCAUACAUACAUAUAUAUAUAUAUAUAUAUAUAUAUAUAUAUAUNNNNNNNNNNNNNNNNNNNNNNNNNNNNNNNNNNNNNNNNNNNNNNNNNNNNNNNNNNNNNNNNNNNNNNNNNNNNNNNNNNNNNNNNNNNNNNNNNNNNAUAUAUAUGACUAAAUACAGUUUACUACAUGAAUUACCAUCAUAUUCAUUAUUAGACCCGGCCCCAAAAAAUUUGGGCUUACAUUUUACUACAUCAAGUGUCUAAUUUAAUAUAAUUUAGCCCCAAAUUUCAGAAUCCGGCCAAAAUUGGCCGGAAUACCAAAUUUUUUGGCUAGAUACAGUAUAAAAUACGGGCUAAUUACACUUAUGUUAUAUUAAGUACUACCAAAUUCACAAUUUACUACAUCAAGUACUUAAUUCGUAUAAAAUUUGUAUAAAUAUUUAUUUUGACGUACGUAUUAAAUAUGUAUAAAUCCUUAUAAAUAAUUAUUAUAUAUUAAAUUAUUAAAAUUAAAUAUUAAUAGAAAGAUUACCCAAUAUUAUUUUUUUAAUUUAAAAAUUUUAAAAGACUUAAUUACCAAAAAAAAUCAAUAAACUUUUAAACAUACAAAUUAUAUUUUUAACACGAAUAACAUUAAACUUUUAAACAAUUGACAAAGUGCCCAAAAUUUAAUCAAUUAAAUAAUACCCUUUUAUAUUAGAAUAGCAUACAAAAGGAGGAGGGAAAAAAAGAAAAAGAAAAAAAUGACUCACGCUCUCUCUUCUCGCUCCCUCCCUCCCUCCCUCCCUCCCUCCCUCUUCCCUAAUCUUUUAAAUUGUUUUGUUCCUUCAAAUUUAGAAAUUUUAACAAUUUUUUAAUAUAAAUUUUACAAAUUAUAUCACAACUUCAAUUUUACAAAUUUUAUUUAUACUUUUACUUUUAUAAAUUCAAAAAGAAAAAAAAUGACUCAUUUGCUCUCUCCCUCUUCUCUAAUCCUUCAAAUUAUUUUAUUCCUUCAAAUUUAGAAAUUUUAACAAAUUGUAUAUACAAGUUUUACAACUUAAAUCUUGCACAUUAUAAAUUUUAUGUCUUAAAUUUUAUAAAUUGUAUGUAUAAAUUUUACAACUUAAAUCUUGCAAAUUAUAAAUUUUAUGUCUUAAAAUUUACAAAUUGUAUGUACAAAUUUUACAACUUAAAUCUUGUAAAUUAUAAAUUAUAAAUUUUGUGUCUAAAAUUUUACUAAUUGUAUGUAUAAAUUUUACAACUUAAAACUUGCAAAUUAUAAAUUAUAUCAUAAAUUAUAAAUUUUACGUCUUAAACUUAACAAAUUGUAUGUAUAAAUUUUACAACUUAAAUCUUGCAAAUUAUAAAUUAUAUCAUAAAUUAAAAAAUUUACGUCUUAAAUUUUACAAAUUAUAUCACAACUUAAAUUUUAUAAAUUGUAUUUAUAAUUUUAUACCUUAUUUCUACGGCAUUAGUUACUUUUUGUAAAGUGCUGAAAAUAUUAUAUUUAUAAUUUUUUUAAUAAUUUUAAUUUUUUUUCCUUUGGGGGACGAAUCAUGAAUAUGGUGGUACUUGAUGUAACUGAAUAGUAAAUAGUCCUUUUUAAAAUUAAGUCAAACUGUAUAUUUAUAUGGUCAACUGGUAUUAAAUACACAAAACCCGAUCGAAUUUUUGGACGGGUCGGGUAUUCCGACCAAUUUUAGCCGAAUUCGGAAAUUGGGGUUUAAAUUGUAUUAAAUUAGGUACUUGAUGUAGUAAAGUGUAAGCUCAAAUUCUUUGGGGCAAAUUAUGAAUUUGAUGGUACUUCAUGUAACAGAAGUGUAAUUAGCCCAUAUAUAUAUAUAUAUAUAUAUAUAUAUAUAUANNNNNNNNNNNNNNNNNNNNNNNNNNNNNNNNNNNNNNNNNNNNNNNNNNNNNNNNNNNNNNNNNNNNNNNNNNNNNNNNNNNNNNNNNNNNNNNNNNNNUUAUAAUAUAUACAAAUUUAAAUCAAAUUAGGAUAAUUAGUUAUUAUUUUGUUUUGUUUUUAAUUUUAAUUGUGAUUUUAUAUUUGUAAAGUGUAAUAAUAAAUAUAUUUUUUCAUUUUUAAGUAAAAUAACAAAUUCAAUUUAUACUUAUAUUUAUUAUAAAACUAGCAAGUUAUUAUGUGUAUAUUCGAAUUCGAACUUGAAUUUGAAGCUCGCGAGUAGUUUGAAUAAAUAUUCGAGUCGAGUCGGAUCGAAUUCGAGUAAUAAAUAUUCGAGUCGAGUCGAGUCGAAUCUGAGUAGGAUUUUUCAAAUAUAAUUCGAAUUCAAGCCGAAUUUGAAUACGAAUUUAUCAUUUCGAGUCGAAUUCGAGUAGCUCUCUGUUCGCUUCGGUUCGACUCGUUUACACCCUUAGUCGCCAUAGACUAGAAUAUAUAGCUGUAGCGACGGGUGAUGUAGUGAAUCGUAUUUUUCCUGAAUGAAUAAAUUAAGAGUUUACCAGAAUUUUUUUAUUAUGUGUUAUAUAUAUAUUGUAUAUAUUAUCAUGUGCAGUAUAAUAUGUGAUGUGGUGAUAUGUCAAAUAUAAUAAUUGAUAUUUAUUAUAUUUAGUAGUUACCCUCUACUUUAACAGAAAAUGAUUUAUGGAUAUUUUAUCCAAAAUUUUUGUAAUGUAUUUUAGUGUAUCUAAAAUAUGUUAUAAAUGGUGCAAUAAAUGCAGAAAGGGGAAGUAAAUGUUAUUUUCUCACCAACCACAGCCUUAAGAGUUAAAGCUUAACAGUAGAAAAUCAAAACUCAGCUUAGUGGUUAGAUACGUGGCUUUUAAUAUGAGAUAAUGACUCAGUAACUUAGCAUGUGCUGGCAAUCAUUUAUUAACAUAGCUCUACAAUUCAGCUUGUCUAUAAUGUGAUUAGCCGAGCUAGUAUGCUUAUAUAGCACAGUUUUAAAUUCUUAAGGUCAGUUUCUCUCUUAAGUAAAACACAAUUAGUGGUAUACAAACUCUGAAAUUUCUACGAGCUGGGCUAAGCAAGUAAGAGUUAGAAGGAUAUCAAAAUUUGGGGUUAGUAAGUAAGAAGAGCUGAAACAAAGCUGAAGCCAACGACACAGAGAUACAGAAAUUAAAGGUAAUUUUUCUUUAUACAGUAGAGUAAAGUUAUAUAUAUAUGAAAGAAGUGUGUAAUUGAUGAUUCGUUUGGUUGAUAAAAGUCUAUAUGAGAUAUAUAUCUGUGAUGCUGGGAUUAAAUGGUUGAAUAAAUUUAACUGGUAGAGUAAUUGGUAAGUUUAAUUUUUAUAACAACCGAUCAUGCAUGGGAUAUUGAAACUCACUGUUUGUUAAUAUCAAACUUUUAAAUUAAAGGAAGGCUAAUAUGUAUUUGUCUAUUUUGUUUACGGUAAAUAUGUUUGGCUAAACUGUGAAAUAAACUAUUUGUGGCUGGAAUAUUGAUUAAUGGAGAUAUGUUGGUUGUGGAGUAAUAAGGAAGCUAAACUGGGGAUUUAAAGAAAAUAAAUAGCUAUGACACAUGUGUUGUAAAACAGUGCCUGUAAAGUGUUUGAUAAAAUUCCUUAAUGAACUGUUUUGCUUAACAAUUGCUUAUUUGUCAGAAUUAAAGCUUGGGUUAUAUAUAUAUACCAUGAAUAAGGGUAAGUAAACUGUUGUGCCUUGUUAAAUGGAAUGAAAACUAAAUUUUUUAAAGCUAAAACUAAAUGCUAGAAUUUAGCCUGGCAAGCAUUUUUACUCACUGUUUUGGGGCAGUCAGUUGGCACCAAGUUGAUUGCAUAUCAUGUGUAAUGAUUAUAGAUUGCAUGUUAUUUUAAAAGGUGGAGUGUAUUAAGUAAAUAUUUCUAAGAAAAAAUUGUGAAUAACUUACCAAAUGGUUGCCAAAGAUGGCAUAGAAUAAGAACAGGGCUGCUGCCCACGGUAGCAGCCAUGGCUAUUUUUGGCAUCAGGUGGGGGCCUUCCUUGAGCUCUUAUUUAGUGCAGAUAAAUUCUAAAAUAGCCCAGCUGAUAUUGCUCUGUAAUGAGAGUAAAUACCAGUUGUGUAUUGUCCAAAACAAAGUGUAAAGGGGUCAUUAAUGUAGGGGUUAAAGCUGAGUAAGGCACUGGACGGACUGCUGCCUAUGGGCUGCAGCAGUUGAUGUCAAAAGAUUAUCUUAAUAACCUUUAGUGGAGGUACCCAUUAUAUUAUUUUUAAAACUCCAUAUAAACAAGCCAAGAAUGUAAGGAAUAAAAGUUUAACAAGGUAGUGGUUAAGAGAAGGGGGGCUGCUGCCUAACGGCAGCAGCAGUUGGCUGUUUUGGGCAAUACACAAGGGGUCUUCCCCUGCUCUUGUGGAUGUUGAAUAGUAAUAAACCAUAACGGUUGAUUAAUACUUUCUUAAAGGGGUGGGUACACCACCAAUUUGAUAUUCAAAAGGUAACAACACAUGGACCAAAAAGGUGAGAAUUAUGAUCUCUUAAAAUAAGGAAUUGGGGAAAAAGGGACUGCUGCUUAAUGGCAGCAGCAAGCAGUUGCUAUUGUUGCAUUGGUAAGCCAUUUUUGGCGUUGUGUUGUAAUUCGAGAGUUUACUCCUAACUCUUAACUUCUGGAUAUAAUAUAUAUAUAUAUAUAUAUAUAUAUAUAUAUAUAUAUAUAUAUAUAUAUAUAUAUAAUAUAUAAUAAAACCAUAACUUAAUUAGAUGGGUAAUGAAAAAAACAAGAAAGAAUUUGUAACGAAAUAGCAUAUCAGAAUGAGUCUAUAAAUCAUGAAAAAUACCACGGAAUAACCAUACAAGUGGAAUUAUCUUUGAUGUAAAAGAUAUACUAUCAAGUUACCUUGUGAAACAUGAAAUACCUUAGGUAUUCACCUUGAAUACCUAAGUUAUAAAGAAAAUUGCAAACUAUACUUGUGGCAAAUGAAAGAAGUAAAAGAAAUAUGAACUAAAAUCAUAAAAAGUUCAUGAACAGAAAUUAUGUCAGACCCUAUAACAGAAAGAAAAGGCUAUUGUAAGAACAUGAAUGAGAUAUGUGAAAAAAUGUAAAUAAAUAUCUCAAGUAUAAGAAUAUAAACUAAAAACAUGAUCACUGUGAUUAUGUGAUAUGUGAAUAUACAAGCUAUAUGACUUGGCUAUUUGGCUAAUAUGGUUGUGAAUGCAAAUAAUUAUGUAGGAUCUGUGAGAAUACACAAGUGAGAAUACACAAGUUAAGCUGAAAAUUGUACAAAUAGUCUACAAACAAGGAAAUUAUCUAAAUCUUACUCUUUAUUGAGCAAGUAUUUUGAGAUUAUUCAUAUGUGGACAGGUUUUUUAAAUUCUGAACUGUCUUUCUUUAUUAUAAAUAUUAUAAAAUUGAAUAAUCUUUUUAUUCCAAUCAGCUUCAAAAGAUUGGAUAAUGUAUUAUCAUGUAUAUCAAAUAAAAUUCAAUAUACAUGAACAGGUUGCAAAGAAGUCUGAGCCAUUCAUUCUGGCCAGACACAGAUGUAAAAUAUUUCAAUUUCUUUAUAUUAAGUCUUGAAAUAUUAUUGUGCCAUGAUUUAAGUUGUCCAGCUAUAUUGUUGUAGUUGGAAUCUAAAACUGAGAAUGAACAUACCCUUAAAUGGGAUAUUUUUAUUGCACUCUGGGAGUGGUGAUGUAGAACAUGAAAAUUGUUCUGGAAAAGAUAGUAUUGAUCAAUACAGGGCAUAAAGGGCUGAUCACCCUACGUGCUCGUAAGUUAAGACGAUUGUUCAUCUGAUAAAAUUUCUGAUUGAACCUUUUCAAGAAAAAGAAAAAUAUGUACAUGGUCUUAAAACCUCUCAGUUAUUCAAUAUUGUUAUGAUAAUCCAGAAAUGUGAAUGAUUUGAGAUUCGUUGCUUUACAAUUUUAAUUCACUGUCAAAGCAUGCUUCAAAGAAAAUAUUUAUUUCUUGUUAAGCUUUAAAAAAAUGCUAUUACUUGCGGAGCAAUUAAAUGCUCAUACUUGUUUAUUUAUAAAUGUUUUCAGCUGAGCAGACUCGGGCGGAAGGGUCUAGAAAAGACAAGAAAAAAGGAGAAAUAAUAGAAUAGCUGAAAGUUGAUGUAAUAGAUAGUUUUCAUGUUUGUAAAUAUUAAACUAUCAUGUAAUGAACGUUUAAAGGUCUACGUACCUGGGAUUAAAAGAACUUUGAUGUAAUAACUUUACUAAAUAUUGGUUUAUUAUAUUCUGAACAUUUUAUAUCGUGAGCACUGAAUAAGGGUUUCAAGUACCCGAAUUUGGGGGCGUCACAGGUGAACCGUCACUAUAAUCCAAAAAAAUCAUUGUUCUAGACGAUUUUGUACUACACAAAUGUGUAUAUACAUUUGUGUAUGUGUGUGGCAUUGCAUGCAUUGUGCUUUCGCGCGUGCGCGUGUGGCAUUGCAUGCAUUAUGCUUCCGACAUCCUUUUAUUUAUAAAGUUAACUUUAGAGUAUAUUUAGGUUAUAGUACUAUUAGAGAUGUAUAAAAGGCUCGAGUAGGUCCAGCCUGGUCAAAAUUCGGCCUAAUCAAGGCCUGGUCCGGUCAGACCUGGCUUGAAAGGCUUGAAAAGGCCACUAUUUUUAAAUAAAAAUCUCGUUUGACCUGCAAAAAAAGCAUGGCAUGAGGCCUGGUUUAGCCUGAGGCCUGGCUAGACCUUGAGGCCUUACAUGUUUUUUUAUCCAGUUAUUUGUAAUUUUUGAAUUUUAAAGUUAUAAUUAUUCAUCAAUAAAGUAUAAAUUUUAUUUAAUCAUUAUUUUAAUUUAUAAAUUAUAAUACAUUAAUUUUAAUUAAUACAUCAAUAAAUUUAAAAUUUUAACUAGUCAUUCUUAAUUUCUUGUAAAUAGAUUUAAUUAAUAUACAUUUUCAAUGAAUAGAACUAGUUAGUAUAUUUAAUAUUAAUAAUAAUUUACUUACUUAAUUGAUUAAAUAUUAAUAAUAAGUUAGUUUUAUUGUAAAAACUAAAUUACUAAUAUUUAACAAUAAAAUUUUAUUAAUAUUUUUUGAUAUUUUUAAUGUUAAAUAUUAACAUUAAUUAAUACAUCAAUAAAUUAAUUUUUAAUAUUAAAUAUUAAUAAUAAGUUAGUUUCUUGUAAAUACUCAAGUUAUUCAUUAAUUUGUAUUUAUAAUUUAUAUUUUUAAUAUUUAAUAUUUAACAUUAAAAAAGACCGGACAAGACUAGCCAAUGCCUUGGGCUCGCCCCGACCUCGAGCCUGACCUAGAUUUGGGUCUGGCUUGGCCUGCAGGCCUAAUCAAACCACAACCCAUCGACCAAGGUUUGGCCUAACCUGACGACCAAAAGUCAACGGCUUAACCUGACCUGAUCAAAGCCUAAGGCCUAUCAAAUCCAGACCAGACUAGACUAGACCAAAUCGACAUGUUGUGCAUCUGUUAGUAGUCUAGUAGUAUUUCAAUGACUUAAAAAAGUUGUUAAUUUAAUUGGGUAUGGUGCAGGUACAAGGGGUUGAGAAAGAAGUUGAAUCAGUUAUUGAAGCGGUACUCAUUGGUCAAGUAAAUAGUAAUGUCACAAAAAAAGAAGUAAGUGAUGGUAGCCACUGGCGGAACUAGGAGGCAGGGAGGUCAUAUGACCCCUCAACUCUAGAAUCUGAAGUGUGCUAAUAUUAGUUAAAUUUGAUCUUUGUUAUGAGAUAGUAUUAAUUUAUUUGCUUUCUCAUGUCCUUCCACCUAUAAUAAAUUAACAAUAUUACUAUAAGAUAAAAUGAUGUUAAAUAAAUUUGAUAAUUAAUUAAUUAAUAUUGCACUCAUUUGUCUUACUAAUUUAAUCAUACGUUGGUAUCAAAUUUUUUGUAAAUGAGAAUAACUUAAUUUAUUUUUUUGCUUUGAGUGGCUCCUCUCAAUUCUCUCCAAGAAGAUGACUAGAACCACAAUAUAAGAUUUUAAAUAUAUAAUAUUAUAAUUUGUAAUUUGUAAUUUAUAUAUAUACAAGUAUAUUUUUCCAAUUUGAAGUUUUUAGUCAACUGAUCAUCUACUUUUAUGGAUAAAUUACAAAUUAUAAUAUUAUAUAUUUAAAAUUUUAUAUUGUGGUUCUGGUCAUUUUCUUGGAGAGAAGUGAGAGGAGCCACUCAAAGCAAAAAAAAAAAAAAUUAAGUUAUUCUCAUUUACAAAAAAUUUGAUAUCAAGGUAUGAUUAAAUUAGUAAGACAAAUGAGUGCAAUAUUAAUUAAUUAAUUAUCAAAUUUAUUUAACAUCAUUUUAUCUUAUAGUAAUAAUGUUAAUUUAGGUGGAAGGACAUGAGAAAGCAAAUAAAUUAAUACUAUCUCAUAACAAAGAUCAAAUUUAACUAAUAUUAGCACAAUUCAGAUUCCAGAGUUGGGAGGUCAUAUGACCCCUAGUUCCGCCAGUGGCUACCAUCACUUACUUCUUUUUUUGUGACAUUACUAUUUACUUGACCAAUGAGUACCGCUUCAAUAAUUGAUUCAACUUCUUUCUUAACCCCUUGUACCUGCACCAUACCCAAUUAAAUUAACAACUUUUUUAAGUAUAUAUAUAUAUAUAUAUAUAUAUAUAUAUGGGAGCGAUCCAUAGCAUCUAUAUGCUAUGGGAUAAAAAGUGGCAUAUAGGCUCUAAUCCGUCCGUUUUAUUGAUGAAAGGCUGCGAUCAGAUUUGGGUCAUCACCGUCCGCUAGACUUACUAGCGGACGUAAUUAGUAAAAAUACUGGACGCUUAUGCCCCCUUUAGACUGGAAGACUUGUGCGAAUUAACAGUAUGUACAGCGUCCGCUAGUAUGUCUAGCGGACGGUAAGUUACUAAAAAGAAUUGGGGCUCCUGUGCAAUACGAACACCUCUACAUGUACAUACUGUUACAAUUACAACACAGCUUACAUAGCAGCCCACAAGACAGAUUCAACACAAACUCCUCAUAUGGUUACAAUUACAACACAAUCUCCUCAUAUGGUUACAAUUACAUUAACACAAACUCCUCAUACUGAUGAAAUUGCAACACAGCUAGAAUUCUGUUACAACACAGCUGCACCACAAACUACCUUGCAAAAUAGAUACUGUUACACAGCUGCAACACAAUUUAUACGUAUGGAGAUAUUGUUACAACACAGCUAGCAUAUUGUUCAGCAAUUCAAUUACAACAGAAUAUGAAUUGAUUACAAAUUAUUCUAAAUUUUUCAUUGUUCCUGUACACCAACAAAUAAGGAAAACAAAAUAUUAUAGCCGCCUUCAACUGACAUCAAGGAAGAAAAUCACACAAUUAAUCAAGCAAGUCAUCGCACCUCAAAUCGUCGUGGUAAGUUUAGAAUUAUGACGGAAGAUAUGUUUAAUUCUAGUUCUUCAAAUUCUUCUCGUGAUAAUAUUGACAUGCUUAAUAUUGGUGCUCAUAACAUGAACCAAUCGCAUAUUAACGAUUCAAAAAGUCCAUACGAGGGUCAGAUUUUUUCUACUAUCCAAGAGGCGGAAGAAUUUUAUAGAAACUAUGCACGAAGUAGAGGAUUUGAAAUAAAAAUUGGUGCAAGUCAUAAACAUGCCCGCUCCAACAAUUUGUCCAACAGACUUUUUACGUGUACCAAAGCAAGAAAACCGAUCGAAAGAAAGAAACAGGAUAUUGAUGAAGCUGAAGGCAGUAAGGUCAAAAGAAAAAGGGAUUCAAUAGGUCGCACGAUGUACAAAGCUAGAAUGUUUGUUGUUCAUCUACAAAAGGAAGAUACAUGGAAAGUUUCAAAAAUUGAGUUGACUCACAAUCAUGAUUUGGUUACUCCGAGCAAGAAAAUUUUCAUUCAAACACGGAAAAAUAUAACUCCUGUUGCUCGAACUUUAAUCGAAACUUUAAACAGCGCUGGAGUUGGGCCAAGUACAAUGAUGAAUGUUUUUAGUGAAAUAGGAGGAGGGAGGGAAAAUGUUGGUUUCAGUGAUAUGGAUAUUCGGAAUGUUGUGCGAGAUUUAAGACGUGACACGAUAGAUUCUAACGAUGCCCAAGCAGCCCUGCAGUAUCUCAAAAAACUUUCAGUUGAAAAUCCUCUAUUUUUUUACGAUAUCAAACGAGAUGAAGAUCAUCGUAUCGCAUGCAUUUUGUGGAUAGAUUACCGAUCAAUGAUAGUUUACAAAAAUUUUGGGGAUGUAGUGACAUUUGAUACAACUUAUCAGACAAACAAGUAUUUCACGCCUUUUGUUCCAUUCACUGGGGUAAAUCACCAUUACCAUUCCGUCUUGUUUGGUUUUGCACUGAUACAGGAUGAAACGGAGGAUACUUUUGUAUGGGUCUUUGAGACAUGGCUUCAUGCAAUGAACAAUAAGGCACCGGUUACCAUUAAAACAAUAAUGCAAUGAACAUUUAUGUUCCGUCCUCAACUCCACCAUGUUUUCAGCAUUAGAUGGAUAUGACUGCAAAUAUCCAAAUUGCCUCAUAAAUCUGUCAGGCAUUUGAAACUCAACAAUGUCGUAAUGAAUCAAAGGUAUACGUGCAGCUCCACCUAACCUUGCCUCAAAAAAGUCCCAACUCAAACGUGUGUCAAAUAUCUGAUAUGGCCGCCAUGCCCAAUCUGUUUUCAACAUGUCAUCAAACUCUCCUCGGUAAAACACAAGAUGGUGAUGUGGAUUUUUGCGGCGCUGAUAUUGUUUGGAAUUUGGAUCAAAAGAAGAGUAUGCCCAGGAUAAUGCCCUAGGUAUCAACUUCUGGGAAUUAGGUCGAGGGGUAGGACGACCAAUGUUGAACCUUUCGUGAGCCCACAUCAUAAGGAAGGUUGCACAUCCUGCAAAUUUUUUCGCUAUUUUCCGAGUAGCCUCAUGCAAACCCCUAUACAAAUGCCCUAAAACUGCUGCCCCCCAAGCAUAUGUAAUUAUGUCUUCCAAUCUUUCCAAUAACAAUAAAUACCUAGGAUGCACUAUAUUUUUACUCUUCGUAGGAAACAAAAUAGCGCCACACAAAUACAACAAAUAUGCCUUAGUGUGUUUUAUCACAUCAUCUGAAGUAGCAUCUUUAGGUAAUUGUCCAUAUCUGUGUCUUAACCAAGGCAAACUUAUGCCCCCCCCCCCUUUUAAAGCACUGUUCCCAAUCCUCUACUGCUACUUGUUGCCCAAAAACCCUUAUAAAAUAGCUUUUGGGAUGUUCUAGUUCUCCGCAAGUCAAAGAUUUUCCUAAUAUGGGCAACCCGAAUAUAAAUCCCACAUCCUCUAAAGUAAUGUCGACCUCUCCACAUUUUAAGUGAAACGAAUUUGUUUCACUCCUCCAACGCUUAACAAAAGAAGAUACAAGAGAUGCAUCAAUCUUUGCACUACAUCUUGAUGACAAAAUAUACCAAAACCUAACUGUUCCAAUAGAUAUUCUUGUUGUUUAGUCAAGUUCCAUUCAAUUAAUUAUGCAGACAUCUGACAAAUUUCUAACACACCCCUAUCCUACAAGUUAAACAGAGGAUACAUACAUAAUUAAAUUGUCAAAAUAUGAAAGUUUUUUAUAAAAUUUUAAGAGAAAUAUGAGAUAUGUGACAAUAAACUUACAAUAUUUUGUCAUAAGUCAGAAGAUACAUGAUUUUCUUGGUCCCAUAAGAUAACAGGAUCAAAAGGUCCUGGAUUGAUAUCCAUAUAUGUCCUAAAAAUUCAACACAAUGUCAAGUAUUAAACAAUCACAGAACUGAAGUAAAUAAACCCCCCAAAAUAGAACAUUUUGACUAUAGAUUAAAAAUAUUUAACUCACCUGUAUUAUGACGAACUCGGGAUAUAAUCAGGGCUCACACCAGAGUUAUAAGGACUGCAAGACGCAACAUAUGAAUGCAAUCAUUUUAGAGUACAAUCAAAUUACAAAUAAAAACAUAUAACUUUGGUGAUGCAACAAUAGGAGGAAAUGCAGCAUAUUCAGGUUGUAAUAUGGGGGAAAUAAAUAGUUCAUCUAACUGACCUGAAAAAUAAGAAGAAAACAACAUAUUACAUAACUCAAUUCUUCAAUCUAGAACAGAGCUCCAUAUUACAAUAAAAAAAUGCAAUUUUUAUACCAAAUCAAUGUUCAAAUUACAAUGGCAUGUUUAAAUGCAAAAAACAAUCGAAGAAGAGAUAAUCAAAUGUACCUGGAAGAAGUAGAUUGCAACUCAAAAAACGUGAAAAGGCAUAGAACACUUCACGUUUUUGGCUGAGAUUUGCAGAUGAUUGCUUCUAGGGUUCUUCGGUUUUCGCACAAUUCGCAGAACAAUUCACGAACUCUUCCUAUGUUUUAAUUUCGAGAACUUCGAGAACUUCCAGGUGAUUUGUAGGUGAUUUGGGGGAUGGAUUGCUUCUAGGGUUUUUCGCUUUUCUCCCAAUUCGCACUUCACGCACGAUUCCUUUGUAUUUCACUUGCAACGGAUUUGGGGAAUGACGGCUUCUAGGGUUCUUCGUUUUUUUCCCAAAUUCGCACUUUCAAGCACAAUUCGAUCCUCUGUAUUUCUCUUGCAAAGGAUUUGGGGAAUGACGGCUUCUAGGGUUAGGGUUCGUCGGAUUUCGCCCAAUUCGCAACGCUGCAUAUUUGGUCCAUAUUUGGUCUAUUUGAGGGGCUUAAGCGUCCAGUAUUUUUACUAAUUACGUCCGCUAGUAAGUCUAGCGGACGGUGAUGACCCAAAUCUGAUCGCAGCCUUUCAUCAAUAAAAUGGACGGAUUAGAGCCUAUAUGCCACUUUUUAUCCCAUAGCAUAUAGAUGCUAUGGAUCGCUCCCCAUAUAUAUAUAUAUAUAUAUAUGUGUGUGUGUGUGUGUGUGUGUGUGUGUGUGUGUAUUUAAAGUCAUUAAACUCAUAACUCAAAGGUUUACUAAGGUUAGAAUAGGAUGUUGUGAAAUACUAUAAUUGCAUGGGUAAAAUGAAUUUGAAAGAAGCACUACAAGCGUCAAUAAAUAAAUUUUUUUUUACUGAUGUAUUUUGACCACUCUCUAAAAAUGUUCUGGUUCUGCCACUGAUAAUAGCAUACAAAUUCAUAACUCGAAAAAAGUUCCUAAAAAAAACUUUAGGCUCAAUAUACAUCUUACAUAUGCAUCAUCAUUACUAUAUGAGCUAUAUGUAUAUAUACAACUGUAUAAAUACACAGUCGUCUAUGACGAUGAUUUUUUUGGGCUAUUACCGUACCAUCGCCAUAGACCAAAAUAGCUAAAGCGACGGUCGGGUGAACCGUCGCUAUAGCCUAAAAAAAUCACCACCAUAGGCGACUGUGUACUACACAGCUAUAUAUAUACAUUUUUCCUUUACUAUAUAUAUAUAUAUAUNNNNNNNNNNNNNNNNNNNNNNNNNNNNNNNNNNNNNNNNNNNNNNNNNNNNNNNNNNNNNNNNNNNNNNNNNNNNNNNNNNNNNNNNNNNNNNNNNNNNUUUUUUACACAAUUUUUUGACUCUUAGAUUUGAACACUCUUAAUGGCUAAAAUUAAAGCUGAUUUUUAAUUUAUAACUAAAUAAAAAUAAAAACAAAACCCGGUGCUUUUCAUCUUCAUCUUUUUCACAUCUAAAACUUCAACCUGGAGCUGUCAAACUGUCAGAUGGAGGAAGCCCAAGAUGUAUCAUCCAACUCUCACCUAUCUCUAGUAUGUUACCAUAGUCUUUAUUUUUGUUUUUAUUUAGUUAUAAAUUAAAAAUCAACUUUAAUCUUAGCCAUUAAGAGUGUUCAAAUCCAAGAGUCAUAAAAAACUUAUUGUCAUUGAUUCGUCCCUAUAUAUAUAUAUAAGGUCUCCAUCUGUGGUAAUCGGUUGCCACAAAUACUAUUCUAACAACCAUAAUCUUCACCGUUGAUCAACAAAAUAGAUGGUAUAAAUUGAAAAGGAAUUUAUACAUGCCGCUACAACUUGUAGCAACAACAACAAAACUUGUGGCAGCUAGACUAAUUACUCUCAUGCUCCUGCCAUAUUAUUAUGCUUUAGUGCCUGUAACUACAAACUGUAGCGACGGUGUAGCAAUUUUAGCUCCCUCCGUUUCAUUGUUGUUGCUCCUUUAUGAUACUCAUAUUAGGAAUUUGGGAUUGAACUUAGCUUUUAUGCCUUAGUUUCAUGGAAAAUACUAAUUAAUUUUAUUAAUAAUGUACAAUAUUUUUACUUGCUAUCAAUUGAUUUUAUUAUUAUUAUUAUUAUUAUUAUUAUUAUUAGUACAUGCUAAUAAAUUCAUGGAAAGUACUAAUUGAUUUUAUUAUUAAUGUACAAUAUUUUUACUUACUACCAAUUGAUUUUAUUAUUAUUAUUAUUAUUAUUAUUAUUAUUAUUAUUUUAGGCAACAUUUAGAGUAUUAUAUUUUUCUUUCGUUUCUUGUUAACUUAUUCUAUUACAAUUCGAUUCUACGGAUACAUUUCAUAUUAUAGCUUAGGGGGUACUAAGGGGAAAUCUAGGAAAAUUUUACAUUUUUUAUAUUGGUUAAUAAAAUUAUUAUAUAUAUGUACGUAGCUAAAAUUGUUUCAUACUAAACGUUGAGAGGGAGAUAAGAGGAAAUGAUAACAUAUUCCUCCUUGUUUUUUUAAAAUUGGUAUUUCCAUCUUAAUUUUUAACAUAACAAUAAUUAAGCAUCCAUGUUUUAAUGCACAAAUCUUAUUAUAUAGUUGUUUUCAUGAAUGAGAGAAAGAAAAAAUACAAUUGUUUAAGGUUGCAGAUGAACCAAGUUAGUUGAAGGUUUGAUUUGGAUUCUUGUGUUAUAUAAUAUAUAAGCAAGACUUGGGCUUUGAGUUUAAUACAAGUUCUUUAGUUUAUUAUUAUUAUUAUUCCCACCUUAAUUGGCACUAUUUAAAUUAACUGCAAAUCGUGCAUCUUCACUUCAUAAUCGUGGGCCCCACCAUUCCUCAUCCACCUCCAUAAUCUACCCCCCNNNNNNNNNNNNNNNNNNNNNNNNNNNNNNNNNNNNNNNNNNNNNNNNNNNNNNNNNNNNNNNNNNNNNNNNNNNNNNNNNNNNNNNNNNNNNNNNNNNNNNNNNNNNNNNNNNNNNNNNNNNNNNNNNNNNNNNNNNNNNNNNNNNNNNNNNNNNNNNNNNNNNNNNNNNNNNNNNNNNNNNNNNNNNAGUCUCUUCUUAUUCAAGCUUACCCACCACCAAACAACUCCAUAAUUUCCUUCCUUUCACGCCUCUCCUUCCCCCACAUACACAAUACACUAUUUUCCUUCACCUCAAAACAUGCAAAUAUAAUUGCUCUUUUAUAAAACACUACUCAAAAUAACAGUCAUAUAUAUACAUACAUACAUACAUAUCUUUGAAAAUGGCAAGCUGGACUACAAUCAACCAGAAGCUGAGUCCCGGUGGAGGCCUCAACCUCUUGCAGAAUUGUGACUUACCUCCGCCGCUCAAGGUUUCUGCCGGUACAGAUAAGGCAGUUUUGUCAUCCAUGAAUAGAAUUUGGACCAUCAUGGGCCAGGAAGACCAGAGCCAGGACCACCUCCUUCAGAUAUGUACAGGUGAUGACCGCUCAGAUAACACUGAGAAGUUGGGGCUUUUGAAGGCGUUGCAAUUAUCGCAAACGCGAGCAAGGGAAGCAGAGAGAAAAGCUGCAAGGUUGAUAAAGGAGAGGGAAGCCAUUUCCAAUGCCCUACUGAAAGAGUCAUCGCAUUUGUUUGCGUAUCGGCAGUUGGUUAGGUUGCUUGAGCAUCCAGUGUCUAAGCUACGUAGGCAACAGCAACAUGGCUCAGGUGAUGGUGCAGGGAAUGUGCCAUGGCUCGUGGCUUUAGCAAUCUGUUUGGGUAUUGCUGGUGUGGGUUUCGCAUUUGGUUGCAGAUACUUUCUUUGAUAGUCUCUUUUCUCUUUCUUUGCUGUGAAGAAUUAGGUUUCAUUUUGUUAGAAAUGAGGACAAAGUAGUAGCUAACUAGUUAUGCAUAUAAAAUAUAUAUAUAUAUAUAUAUAUAUAUAUNNNNNNNNNNNNNNNNNNNNNNNNNNNNNNNNNNNNNNNNNNNNNNNNNNNNNNNNNNNNNNNNNNNNNNNNNNNNNNNNNNNNNNNNNNNNNNNNNNNNUAAGUUACCACUACUUGGCUGUCCCAAGUGCGUGUAGCUACUAUAUACAUCUAGGUAUACUUGCCUAAUAAUCUGGUUUAUGUACACAUACAUGUCAACAAGUUGGUCAGGGUUCUCAGAUAAUUGCCUGGUGUAUGGACCUCAGAUGGCCGUAACAAUCAUCACUGCUCCCAAAGGACUCCAAGCAGACCCAACAUAUGUGCCUCCCACACCUACACUCUACAUGGUUGCACCCAUCCACCUUCUCAAUAGUAAAACCACAUAUAGGGCAAUGCUUCACAUGCUCCUUUCCCUUGCACCACUCCUUCAAUGAGGAAUCUGGAUCUUCCUUGAAUUCCCUAUACCUCUCACAUGACAGAUAUGGAUGGUACUCCAGGUGACACUUGGUACAGGUCUCCACGGAACAUGCACCGCAAAAAAAUGGUGUGCCAGCACAGCCAGGAUCUGCCACUCGAUAAACUGAAGGGCAGUCGGGAGAGGGGCAAAACCUGAAAAUGCCCCCACUAGCUGCAACAAAAGACCCCAAAGAAGCCCUAAAAAGUUCCUCUAAUUUCUCAUUCAACAAUAGAAACCUCAAGUCAGAAAUUAAAAUACAAGCACCACAAUUCUUGUAGGUACAACGCAUUGGGAAACUAUCCUGGCUUUUUAUUGCUGACUCACACUGCUCAACUAAACAUAACCGGCAAAAUUCAUGCCCACAUCCUUCAAUCCGGUAACCAUCCUCCACUUCACACAAGCAAAUGGGACAGGCAGCUUCAUUACCAAUUUUCUGUGGACUACUUGUCUGUGCAAUCUCAUAUAUUAAUUUUUCAACCUUUUGCUUUACUUGUUUGCUACCAUGAAUAGAGAUGAAAUGGUA
rnacentral:lncRNA from 1 species